AUUGAACGCUGGCGGCAUGCCUUACACAUGCAAGUCGAACGGUAACAGGUCUUCGGAUGCUGACGAGUGGCGAACGGGUGAGUAAUACAUCGGAACGUGCCUAGUAGUGGGGGAUAACUACUCGAAAGAGUGGCUAAUACCGCAUGAGAUCUACGGAUGAAAGCAUGGGAUCGCAAGACCUUGUGCUACUAGAGCGGCCGAUGGCAGAUUAGGUAGUUGGUGGGAUAAAAGCUUACCAAGCCGACGAUCUGUAGCUGGUCUGAGAGGACGAUCAGCGCCACUGGGACUGAGACACGGCCCAGACUCCUGCGGGAUGCAGCAGUGGGGAAUUUGGGACAAUGGGCGCAAGCCUCAUCCAGCAAUGCCGCGUGCAGGAUGAAGGCCUUCGGGUUGUAAACUGCUUUUGUACGAAACGAAAAGCCCUGGGUUAAUACCCUGGGGUCAUGACGGUACCGUAAGAAUAAGCACCGGCUAACUACGUGCCAGCAGCCGCUGUAACAC
rnacentral:rRNA from 1 species